CCUACGGGAGGCAGCAGUGGGGAAUAUUGCACAAUGGGGGAAACCCUGAUGCAGCGACGCCGCGUGAGUGAAGAAGUAUUUCGGUAUUUAAAGCUCUAUCAGCAGGGAAGAAAAUGACGGUACCUGACUCAUAAGCCCCGGCUAACUACGUGCCAGCAGCCGCGGUUAUACGUAGGGGGCAAGCGUUAUCCGGAUUUACUGGGUGUAAAGGGAGCGUAGACGGCAGCGCAAGUCUGCUGUGAAAUCCUAUGGCUGAACCAUGGAACUGCUUUGGAGACUGUGCGGCUGGAGUGCAGGAGAGGUAAGCGGAAUUCCUAGUGUAGCGGUGAAAUGCGUAGAUAUUAGGAGGAACACCAAUGGCGAAGGCGGCUUACUGGACUGUAACUGACGUUGAGGCUCGAAAGCGUGGGGAGCAAACAGGAUUAGAUACCCCUGUAGUC
rnacentral:rRNA from 1 species